GAUGAAGAACGUAGCGAAAUGCGUUAAGUAAUGUGAAUUGCAGAAUUCAGUGAAUCAUCGAAUCUUUGAACGCACAUUGCGCCCGUCAGUAUUCUGGCGGGCAUGCCUGUUCGAGCGUCAUUACGCCCCUCAAGUCCCCUGUGGACUUGGUGUUGGGGAUCGGCGAGGCUGGUUUUCCAGCACAGCCGUCCCUUAAAUUAAUUGGCGGUCUCGCCGUGGCCCUCCUCUGCGCAGUAGUAAAACACUCGCAACAGGAGCCCGGCGCGGUCCACUGCCGUAAAACCCCCCAACUUUUUAUAGUUGACCUCGAAUCAGGUAGGACUACCCGCUGAACUUAAGCAUAUCAAUAAGCGGAGGA
rnacentral:misc_RNA from 1 species